GUUGUCUUUCUUUGUACGUUAUAGUCAAGGCAUGUAUUUUCCGGACUGAGUUCGUUGCCUAUUUUGACUUUUAGUAACUGUUUCCGCCCAACUGAAGAAUCACCGCAUAGCGGUUUUAGUAAAUAGAGGUGCCUUUUCACCAUUUUUGCACAACUUAGCCCCGCAUAGAUUUCUUACUACAUGUGGAUUUCAUAUUAGUACAUAUGACAAUAAAGUGAAAGUGUUCAUAACGAAAAA